GCGCGCGCAGGAAGGAGCUUCAGGGCGCAGCGAGCUGGGGUCCAAGCACUGGCCAUGGGAGCAAGGAACAUACUGGAGCAACAGAGACGCGCGCGGCUGAGGGAACGGAAGGGAGGAAGAAGACCACGACGCUGGGGCUGGAGCUCGGGCGAGCGCACAGGGAGACGGCAAGGCUGAACGGAAAAGUGGCUGGGCGCGCAGGAGACUCCACGGCACAGGGAGCAAUCAAGACUGGGCGCCAUGGGAAACUCGCCGACAGAGAGGGGAGAGAUGAGAGAGAAAGGAGCGCGCGAACUGGAGGACCGCAGGGACGCGCGCGAGCCAUGGCGGGGGACUCGGCUGGGGAUGAGAGCGGAGCACCAUGGGACUUUGCGGCAGGAAGCAGACCAGAGAGAGAAAGGCGCGGUGGACAGAAGCAAGCGAUGCCGCGGCUGGAGAGGAAGAAGAAGCAGAUUG
rnacentral:misc_RNA from 1 species